rnacentral:rRNA from 1 species
CCUACGGGUGGCUGCAGUGAGGAAUAUUGGUCAAUGGCCGGAAGGCUGAACCAGCCAAGCCGCGUGAAGGACGAAGGUGCCAAGCAUUGUAAACUUCUUUUGUCAAGGGACAAAAUCAGGCUCGAGAGCCUGACCGAGGGUACUUGAAGAAAAAGCAUCGGGUAACUCCGUGCCAGCAGCCGCGGUAAUACGGAGGAUGCGAGCGUUAUCCGGAUUUAUUGGGUUUAAAGGGUGCGCAGGCGGAAUGUCAAGUCAGCGGUAAAAUUUCGGGGCUCAACCCCGUCGUGCCGUGGAAACUGGCGUUCUUGAGUGAGCGAGAAGUAUGCGGGAUGCGUGGUGUAGCGGUGAAAUGCAUAGAUAUCACGCAGAACUCCGAUUGCGAAGGCAGCAUACCGGCGCUCAACUGACGCUCAUGCACGAAAGCGUGGGUAUCGAACAGGAUUAGAUACCCUGGUAGUC